UGUGCGGGGGAAGAGAAGCGGGUCGGUACGCGCACCGUGGUGGUUGGGCACCGUCCGGUUUUGGAAACGGAUGCUUAUGUGGCACAGAAGUUCUGUGACAACAGGAUUGUCUCCUCUAAGUACACCCUCUGGAACUUCCUGCCGAAGAACCUUUUUGAGCAGUUUAGAAGAAUUGCCAACUUCUACUUCCUCAUCAUCUUCCUCGUGCAGGUGAUAGUGGACACCCCGACCAGCCCAGUGACCAGUGGCCUCCCACUCUUCUUUGUCAUCACUGUCACAGCUAUCAAACAGGGAUAUGAGGACUGGCUGAGGCACAGAGCUGACAACGAAGUGAACAAAAGUAAUGUCUUCAUUGUCGAAAAUGCAAAGCAAGUGCAGAAAGAAAGUGAAAAAAUCAAGGUUGGAGACAUAGUGGAAGUGAAAGCAGAUGAGACCUUCCCUUGUGACUUGAUAUUUUUGGCCUCGAGCAGCACUGACGGGACCUGUUACGUCACUACAGCAAGUCUCGAUGGCGAGUCCAAUUUCAAGACCCACUAUGCAGUGCGGGAUACCACUGUGCUCUGUACGAACGAAGCUAUCGACGCUCUCACCGCCACGAUUGAGUGUGAACAGCCACAG